rnacentral:lncRNA from 1 species
AUUCCCGCACCUAGAGAAGGAGUGAAGCACAGUGACCUCUGAACCUCCAGUACCGUUCCACCUGUAUAGGCAUAUGAAGUCAUUGAGAUAUGAAUUUCUGUAAUAACAGCUGCUUGGGAAUACUGCUGCUGAGGCAAUGUGCAUAAGGGAGAAUAGUGGGGAGAAAAAAGAGUUAAGAAUUUCGAAAGGUUUUGCUUAUUGCCAUCUUUUUCAGUCGUCAAAGAGAUGUUUUGAGGUGGCAAUUAAAAGAACCUGAAAUGACUAGAAAUGUAGCAUUGAGCCUGUGUAGUGGCUUAUCUUGCCCAAUGUUCUGUACUGGCCAGAGAAAUUAAUGAGUUCGGUAUGUCAUUGAUGGUGCCACUGCUCUUUGGUGUGCAGCUGGAGCAGGACAUUUUGAAGUUGUUAAACUUCUAGUCAGCCAUGGAGCCAACGUGAACCAUACCACAGUAACUAAUUCAACCCCCCUGCGGGCAGCAUGCUUUGAUGGCAGACUGGACAUUGUGAAAUACUUGGUUGAAAAUAAUGCCAACAUCAGCAUUGCCAACAAAUAUGACAACACCUGCCUAAUGAUUGCGGCAU